rnacentral:rRNA from 1 species
CCAGACUCCUACGGGAGGCAGCAGUGGGGAAUAUUGCACAAUGGGGGAAACCCUGAUGCAGCGACGCCGCGUGAGUGAUGAAGUAUUUCGGUAUGUAAAGCUCUAUCAGCAGGGAAGAUAAUGACGGUACCUGACUAAGAAGCUCCGGCUAACUACGUGCCAGCAGCCGCGGUAAUACGUAUGGGGCAAGCGUUAUCCGGAUUUACUGGGUGUAAAGGGAGCGUAGACGGCCAGACAAGUCUGAUGUGAAAAUCCAGCGCUUAACGUCGGGAGUGCUUUGGAAACUGUCGGGCUAGAGUGCAGGAGAGGUAAGCGGAAUUCCUAGUGUAGCGGUGAAAUGCGUAGAUAUUAGGAGGAACACCAGUGGCGAAGGCGGCCUGCUGGACUGCAACUGACGUUGAGGCUCGAAGGCGUGGGGAGCAAACAGGAUUAGAUACCCCAGUAU